rnacentral:rRNA from 1 species
GGCGAACGGGUGAGUAACACGUGGGCAAUCUGCCCUUCACUCUGGGACAAGCCCUGGAAACGGGGUCUAAUACCGGAUAACACCGGCUUCCGCAUGGAAGCUGGUUGAAAGCUCCGGCGGUGAAGGAUGAGCCCGCGGCCUAUCAGCUUGUUGGUGGGGUAAUGGCCUACCAAGGCGACGACGGGUAGCCGGCCUGAGAGGGCGACCGGCCACACUGGGACUGAGACACGGCCCAGACUCCUACGGGAGGCAGCAGUGGGGAAUAUUGCACAAUGGGCGAAAGCCUGAUGCAGCGACGCCGCGUGAGGGAUGACGGCCUUCGGGUUGUAAACCUCUUUCAGCAGGGAAGAAGCGAAAGUGACGGUACCUGCAGAAGAAGCGCCGGCUAACUACGUGCCAGCAGCCGCGGUAAUACGUAGGGCGCAAGCGUUGUCCGGAAUUAUUGGGCGUAAAGAGCUCGUAGGCGGCUUGUCACGUCGGGUGUGAAAGCCCGGGGCUUAACCCCGGGUCUGCAUCCGAUACGGGCAGGCUAGAGUGUGGUAGGGGAGAUCGGAAUUCCUGGUGUAGCGGUGAAAUGCGCAGAUAUCAGGAGGAACACCGGUGGCGAAGGCGGAUCUCUGGGCCAUUACUGACGCUGAGGAGCGAAAGCGUGGGGAGCGAACAGGAUUAGAUACCCUGGUAGUCC